UUAAUCGUCAACACAAGCAGCUAUCAUAAACCGCUGCUCGCCAGAGAAGUACAAGUGAAAAACUAGAAACUCAAAGGACUUGGCGGUGCCCCACAUCAACCUAGAGGAGCCUGUCCCAUAAUCGAUGCCCCACGCUAGACCUAACCUGCUUUUGCCAACCAGCCUAUAUACCGCCGUCGCCAGCCUGCCUAAUGAUAGACCCACAGCAGGCACAAGUAACCCCUUAAACACGUCAGGUCAAGGUGUAGCUAAUAAGCAGGUGCCAGAUGGGCUACAUUUUCUAAGCACAAGAAAACCACUACAGGCAUUAUGAAACAUGCGCCGAAAGGCGGAUUUAGUAGUAAGUCGGGCAAGAAAGCCUAACUGAAACCUGCCCUGGGACAC
rnacentral:rRNA from 1 species